UCUGACUGUGUUAGAUGUAGCUUAGUUUUUCAAUAUGAGGCAUAAUGCCCGACAACGUAGCGGUGUCGCAUGAUUGCUAAGCAUUUCACAAAAAAUUCUUAUCAAUCAUGCGACACUUUAAUCGCUAUCCCAUAAUUUAAAUUAGGGAAUGGGACUCUUCACCGAGGUUGUAAAAUGAGACAAACGAUUUUAGCUGUAU
rfam:Acinetobacter sp. 38-8 SCNpilot_cont_750_p_scaffold_6342, whole genome shotgun sequence.